CCCCGUUGUUAGGAGCCCGGCCGGAAGUGGCGCGCAUCUUCCGCGCCGACGGGAAAUUUCUCAUGGACUUCCACUGCCCCACGGCGCCAAAAGGAGAGCGGGGGCAGACACUACGCAUGCGCGCGAGAAAGGAGGGCUAGCGACCUGCCCUCGGUUAAACUUCCUAACUUCGAGACCGAGGGAAGGGCUGAGGUUUGAGUCCAGCCUCGGGAAGAAAGACUUAGAUGGGCUCGUCGAUCCUGGGAGGACCGCAAUCCCGCACUCCUGCUGCCGGGGGUAGUGGAUGAAGAUGCUCUGGAAGAUGCUUCGGGGCCGGAAGACCUCCUUGGGAAAGACGUCGAGCAGCAGGUUGUAGACGGCCAGGUCCCGCUCGACGCCAUACUCCCGCAUCUUGCGCAGGGCCAGAUCUCACAGCUAAAAGCAAACCUGGGCCAAAUGACUUUUGUCCGUCCACCGCAGCAGUGGAAAACGGCCCCGGUGUGCAUCAGCACGGAAAUGGUUAAGCAAAUGGCCACGAACCUGGACAAGGAGCGCCUGCAUCCGUCAGACACACUGAGGAGGGUCUUGUGUGACCCAGAACGAGCUCCAAGGCACGUGCCGGGCGGUGAAGAGCAGGAGUCACCUGAGCCCGUUCGUUCCCGGCUGAGAUGGAACAAGGCGACGCGCGGCCUUCUGGGUUUGGCCCUCAUAUUGUCAAGAAGCGUCCUUUCAGAGAUUUGUUCAGUGCCCGUUUUCCACAUUGUUCUAUCAGUGACUCUGCAGUUGAAUAUGCCCCCCAUGUAUAGUGCUUGGAGGCUGUCUAGUGUCCCUGCAGGCAAGAAGGCGCUGCUGUUCCUUACAGAGAAAAUACCGGGUGGUAGGUACGCUUCAUUCAGGCCUGAGUUACAGUGCUGUUGGCUGUGAGCUCGAUGAUAAUGACUCAACAAUAUGUAUUAAAUAAGGUGUCUUUAAACAGAAACACACAUCCAAUGACGUA